CGACCGGGACGACCCGGUUGCUGUCGAGGGGCCCGGCCGGGACGACCCGG
rnacentral:ncRNA from 1 species